GACGAACGCUGGCGGCGUGCCUAAUACAUGCAAGUCGAACGAGAGCGACCGGUGCUUGCACUGGUCAAUCUAGUGGCGAACGGGUGAGUAACACGUGGGUAACCUGCCCAUCAGAGGGGGAUAACAUCCGGAAACGGAUGCUAAAACCGCAUAGGUCUUCGAGCCGCAUGGCUUGAAGAGGAAAAGAGGCGCAAGCUUCUGCUGAUGGAUGGACCCGCGGUGCAUUAGCUAGUUGGUGAGGUAACGGCUCACCAAGGCCGUGAUGCAUAGCCGACCUGAGAGGGUGAUCGGCCACAUUGGGACUGAGACACGGCCCAAACUCCUACGGGAGGCAGCAGUAGGGAAUCUUCCGCAAUGGAUGCAAGUCUGACGGAGCAACGCCGCGUGAGUGAAGAAGGUUUUCGGAUCGUAAAACUCUGUUGUUAGAGAAGAACAAGUGCUAGAGUAACUGUUAGCGCCUUGACGGUAUCUAACCAGAAAGCCACGGCUAACUACGUG
rnacentral:rRNA from 1 species